GAAAUUAAAUAUAGAUAGCCGUAGACAGUGGGUUUUGAGCUAGAAUUAGCUCAAAUUAAAGAUCCUACCGAGGUGAAAAAGAUAAAUUUUUCAAUGUCUGCGCUAUUUACGCAGAUUUUUUAAUUAAUAA
rfam:Candidatus Komeilibacteria bacterium RIFOXYC1_FTLL_37_11 rifoxyc1_full_scaffold_57, whole genome shotgun sequence.